GGUGUGAUUGAGUCGCAGGGACUUUGUGCUCUUCAGGGAUGACUAAUUCUUCCGUGUUUGAUUGCUUAGUUUUUUAAGAACGACUCGACUAUUUUAUUUUUGUUUUAUUUUUUGUGGUUUGCUCUUAAAAAGAAAUCCGGGCAUAGUUUAUAAGAGGAGACAUUUUAGGGAAAGAUCCAUCAAAAAUGGCUGUUGAAUCGCCUUGGGACAGUAUUGAAUACAACUAGCUGAGCAUGGUGUAUGCAGGUGAAAAAUUGAACAGCCAGUAUCGUACGUGUAUUCGGAGGGCAACGAAGAGGGGAAGAUGAAAACGAAUGAAUAUUCCAUAAAGGAUAGCAGUUGGAUGCUGUUUAAACAUGGCCUGGAGAGUGAACACCUUGGGAAGAUAGAUGAUACAUUGCAGAGCAUCACUGAGAAAUAUAUAUGCAGUCAAGAAGGACAGAAGAACAGAUACAUUCACAGAGAAAAAUAGAGGUACUUUGUCCAUCACCAGGCAGUUAUGUCUUCCACCUCAGCUUCACCAAAAGUGCUAUUCUUCGUUAACUUGCCUACUUGUGCUUCAGCAACAUUGACAUCUUGACUGCCAGGUGCACUCAUGAUAUCGGGAAGCACUUCCCUGAAAAACUCAAGAAUAUGGCGAUUCACCUGUUCGAAUUGCAGGAGGAACGCAUCAUGGCCUUCAGGGCUAUCAAUGUUUCGUAAUCGCGAAUCUGGAAUACCAUCCGCUAGCUCCUGCUGCUCAGCGAACGUGAACAGCCCAUCGCUUUCAAUACCAAUGACCAGGGCUGGCUGUUGAAUUUGAGAGAGUGCAUCCUUGACCGGGGUCUUCGAGUUAGGAUCGACUCGAUGUCUGGAGAUGUCAUGAGUAUCGAGCUUCCGUGUGAUCGCGAUGUAGCAAUUGCUGUCGAAUCGCUUAACGAAUUUUUCGCCCUGGUAUCGCAGAUAUGACUGCGCGGAAAAGUAGGUAGUCGGCCGCUUGGCAGUUUGGAAGGAUGUGGAGGCAGGGGAGUCAGGUGAAGCGAAAAGUGUGGUGCCGUUGAACUGAGGAUCCGUGAACGUCUGGUGGGAUUCCAAGGAUGUAUUGUUCACCGAUGGGAGUGUCGCCGGUAAGUGUCUAGUACUCUUAUGGCCAUCAUUAUGCACAGCCAAAUGCUCGUUGGGGGGCGUGGGAAGGAGUGUCGUGCCGUUGAUAUUUUGCUUUCUCGAGGGGUCGGGGACAUUUCUGCCAAAGCGCGAUUCAAAUGAAUCUCGACUUCGAUAAGUUAAGAGAGCAGACAUACGAGCCGCUCCCAGGCCACUCGCAGGGGGGUCAUCAAAGGAGUAAUAACCGUCCUCAUAUUUCGGGUCACUGUAAAUACUCUGGCGUUGCGCCUCGCCCCAGCUGAUACCCCAUGCUGAGUGGCGACUUGAAGUGGCGAUUGGCACGAUGCUUCGUACGUAGUCCUUGCCAAAAUACGCAUAUUCUAAAACGAGCAUACCACCC
rnacentral:sRNA from 2 species